UUGGUGAUCAGCACUGAACACAAACCACCAGCCAUGGAGUUUGGGCUGAGCUGGAUUUUCCUUGUUGCUGUUUGGAAAGGUGUCCAGUGUGAGGUGCAGCUGGUGGAGUCCGGGGGAGGCUUGGUCCAGCCUGGCGGGUCCCUGAGACUCUCCUGUGCAGCCUCUGGAUUCACCUUCAGUGACUACUACAUGUACUGGGUCCGCCAGGCUCCAGGGAAGGGGCUGGAGUGGGUAGGUUUCAUUAGAAGCAAAGCUUAUGGUGGGACAGCAGAAUACGCCGCGUCUGUGAAAGGCAGAUUCACUAUCUCCAGAGAUGAUUCCAAAAGCAUCGCCUCUCUGCAAAUGAACAGCCUGAGAGCCGAGGACACGGCCGUGUAUUACUGUACUAGGGACACAGUGAGGCGAGGGGGCGCCCGGGACACAAACCUCCCUGCAGGGGUCUCCGUGACCACCAGGGGGCGCCCGGACACUGUGCUCGCGGCUGUUUCCGGGGCAGGAGCCAGUGCUGCUAAGGCCUGGCUUCCUGUCAUGGAAGACACAUCCUCACCUCCACAGAAGCCAGGGUGUCACUUUGGGGGCAGAAAUAAUCCUUUCGUGGUCAACAGGACGAGAGUCCUGAGGAAUCCUAGAGAAAUCUGGAGAGUUUUUUCCAGUUAG